AACGGACUCCCAGAUGGGUAACUUGAAGGGAAGUUAGUGGCGAACGGGUGAGUAAUGAAUGGGUAACGUACCUCGGACUCAGGGAUAGCGGCGAGACUUCGGUCUCUUUGCGAAAGUGCCGGUAAUACCUGAUGAUCCCGCGUGAUCGCAUGUUCAUGCGGGCAAAGUUCCGGCGGUCUGAGACCGGCCCAUUUCCUAUCAGCUUGUUGGUGGGGUAACGGCCUACCAAGGCUGCGACGGGUACCGGGUGUGAGAGCAUGACCCGGCACAUCGGGACUGAGACACGGCCCGGACACCUACGGGUGGCUGCAGCAACGAAUAUUCCGCAAUGGGCGAAAGCCUGAUGGAGCGACGCCGCGUGCAGGAUGAAGUCCUUCGGGAUGUAAACUGCUGUCAGGGGUUAGAAACACAAUGAUCAACCCCAAAGGAAGCCUCGGCUAACUCCGUGCCAGCAGCCGCGGUAAUACGGAGGAGGCGAGCGUUGUUCGGAAUCACUGGGCUUAAAGCGCGUGUAGGC
rnacentral:rRNA from 1 species